rnacentral:rRNA from 1 species
UGAGUACGAGCUGCUACGGCAGCGAAGUGGGUGACGUCAAGCUUCCAAGAAAAGCCCUACACCCGUUAAGGCAUGAUGGCCCGUACCCGAAACCGACACAGGUAGGAUGGUAGAGAAUACCGAGGGGCGCGAGGUAACUCUCUCUAAGGAACUCGGCAAAAUGGCCCCGUAACUUCGGGAGAAGGGGUGCCACCGCAAGGUGGUCGCAGUGAAGAGGCCCAGGCGACUGUUUACCAAAAACACAGGUCUCCGCUAAGUCGCAAGACGAUGUAUGGGGGCUGACGCCUGCCCAGUGCCGGAAGGUUAAGGAAGCUGGUCAGCGUAAGCGAAGCUAGCGACUGAAGCCCCGGUGAACGGCGGCCGUAACUAUAACGGUCCUAAGGUAGCGAAAUUCCUUGUCGGGUAAGUUCCGACCCGCACGAAAGGCGUAACGAUCUGGGCGCUGUCUCGGAGAGAGGCUCGGCGAAAUAGAAUCGUCUGUGAAGAUGCGGACUACGUGCACCCGGACAGAAAGACCCUAUGAAGCUUUACUGUAGCUUGGUAUUGUGCCCGGGCUCUGAAUGCGCAGGAUAGGUGGGAGGCUUUGAUCAACAGCUUGCGGGUUGUUGUGAGCCAACGGUGAGAUACCACUCUUUCAGAGCUAGGGUUCUAACGGUCACCCGUUAUCCGGGGACCGGACAGUAUCAGGUGGGCAGUUUGACUGGGGCGGUCGCCUCCUAAAAGGUAACGGAGGCGCGCAAAGGUUUGCUCAGGCUGGUUGGAAAUCAGCCGACGAGUGUAAAAGCAGAAGCAAGCUUGACUGUGAGACCUACAAGUCGAACAGGGACGAAAGUCGGCUUUAGUGAUCCGACGGUUCUGAGUGGAAGGGCCGUCGCUCAACGGAUAAAAGUUACUCUAGGAUAACAGGCUGAUCUCCCCCAAGAGUUCACAUCGACGGGGAGGUUUGGCACCUCGAUGUCGGCUCAUCGCAACCUGGGGCUGAAGUCGGUCCCAAGGGUUGGGCUGUUCGCCCAUUAAAGCGGUACGCGAGCUGGGUUCAGAACGUCGUGAGACAGUUCGGUCCAUAUCCGGUGCAUGCGCAGGAGUAUUGAGAGGAGUUCUCCCUAGUACGAGAGGACCGGGAGGAACGCACCUCUGGUGUACCAGUUAUCGUGCCAACGGUAAACGCUGGGUAGCCAUGUGCGGAGAGGAUAACCGCUGAAAGCAUCUAAGUGGGAAGCCCACCUCAAGAUGAGUAUUCCCAUGGCAUAAGCCAGUAAGGUCACGGGAAGAACACCCGUUGAUAGGCUCUACGUGGAAGCGCAGUAAUGCGUGAAGCGGAGGAGUACUAAUAGACCGAGGGC